AUCAGCGAAUUAUGAACAUGAAUAAUGCUAUCGUGCGUACUGGGUGAAAGUCUCGACCGGUAUGAAUCACACCGGAGCAUAUUAACUAGCCCACUUCUUACACAGCCAUUAAUGCUUUCUCACUCAGCCUCCGGUUGCAGACACGAGAGUGUGUUUUUCACGCGUGUUUUGUGCGUGCAUGUUCCACUGUAUUAAAAAGCGCGUGUUGUAAGAAAGUGAAGCACGUCUACGUAAGGCCCAGCCACUGAAUCCAACAGAUUUGCCACGGGAAUUAUUUAACCCUUCGAGCGCCAAGGAUGACAGAAUCGACGUGGCAGCCGUGGGCAGACAACGUCACUCUCCAACCCAAAGGAAAUGCUGUGUUUCACGCUGCUAUAUUUGGCUUCGAUGGAGCUCUAUGGGGCAGGACUUCGAAGGAUAACAGGGGUCCCACCCCGCAGGAGGGCGUGGCGCUCGCAUACGUGCUCUCGAACGAGGAAAAGAGGGACUUGGCCCUGCAGAAUGGGAUUUUCUACUGUAAUUGCAAAUUCAAUGUAAUAUUUGCGGAGAAUGGCGAAGUGAAAGCCGUAAAGGGAGCAAAGGACAAUUGCCCCUCCGAACUCCUCGUGGUCAAGCGGUGUAAAAUGUGUUUCAUUCUUGCUAUAGGACACGGAGAAAGGAGAGGUGAUGUGGUAGACUCGUUAUUUAAAACAGCUAAUUGCCUCACAGAUGCUGGAUAUUAAACGGCGUCAUAAAAUCAAAAUUAGGAAUUUUGCACUCUGUCCAACGAACAAAAUUGUGUGAGGGAGGUCGUGUUAGUCGCGAGCAAAUGGGAUGUACUAAGAUGUUUUGAUUGGACAAGAAAUUGAAAACACAUUAACCGUAAACACGUGCAUUUGAAGGACAAUUGAUGGGUCCCGAUGUUUUUGACAGUCCGAUAUUAUGUUGUACUUUAUGUGAUGGUACGCCAGGUGUGUGAUUGGUGGAGUUGUGACAAUACCGGAAUAAUACUAGAAACACAAUUUGAACAUAUUUUCAGUGUUCAGUCCGCUCAUCUUAACAUUGAACAUGUUUGUAACCAUCGUUGUGUCGUGCACGUAACCAAUCUAUGGUGCUUUUAUUAAGUCUAGUUAAUUGUGCUUUCAACUUCGUGAUGCUUUCUAAUAUAUUUUGUCAAAUUAAAAUGCCGUUUUUAUCAUUCAAA